UACUUAGUGGCAGACGGGUGAGUAACAUGUGGGUAUCUACCCUUUGGCCUGGAAUAACACGAGGAAACUUGUGCUAAUACCGGAUAAGUCUUUACGGAGAAAGCUUUAUGCACCAUUGGAUGAGCCCGCACUUGAUUAGUUUGUUGGUAGGGUAAUGGCCUACCAAGACUAUGAUCAAUAGCUGAUUUGAGGGGAUGAUCAGCCACAUUGGGACUGAGACACGGCCCAAACUCCUACGGGAGGCAGCAGUGGGGAAUCUUGCACAAUGGAGGGAACUCUGAUGCAGCGAUGCCGCGUGAGUGAAGAAGGCCUUUGGGUUGUAAAGCUCUUUCGUCGGGGAAGAAAAUGACUGUACCCGAAUAAGAAGGUCCGGCUAACUUCGUGCCAGCAGCCGCGGUAAUACGAAGGGACCUAGCGUAGUUCGGAAUUACUGGGCUUAAAGAGUUCGUAGGUGGUUGAAAAAGUUGGUGGUGAAAUCCCAGAGCUUAACUCUGGAACUGCCAUCA
rnacentral:rRNA from 1 species